rnacentral:rRNA from 1 species
GACGAACGCUGGCGGCGUGCUUAACACAUGCAAGUCGAACGGAAAGGCCCUGCUUUUGUGGGGUGCUCGAGUGGCGAACGGGUGAGUAACACGUGAGUAACCUGCCCUUGACUUUGGGAUAACUUCAGGAAACUGGGGCUAAUACCGGAUAGGAGCUCCUGCUGCAUGGUGGGGGUUGGAAAGUUUCGGCGGUUGGGGAUGGACUCGCGGCUUAUCAGCUUGUUGGGGGGGUAGUGGCUUACCAAGGCUUUGACGGGUAGCCGGCCUGAGAGGGUGACCGGCCACAUUGGGACUGAGAUACGGCCCAGACUCCUACGGGAGGCAGCAGUGGGGAAUAUUGCACAAUGGGCGGGAGCCUGAUGCAGCAACGCCGCGUGCGGGAUGACGGCCUUCGGGUUGUAAACCGCUUUCGCCUGUGACGAAGCGUGAGUGACGGUAAUGGGUAAAGAAGCACCGGCUAACUACGUG